rnacentral:rRNA from 1 species
GGAUGCGAUCAUACCAGCACUAAAACACCGGAUCCCAUCAGAACUCCGAAGUUAAGCGUGCUUUGGCGAGAGUAGUACUAGGCUGGGUGACCUCCUGGGAAGUCCUCGUGUUGCAUUCCC